CGCCCGUACAAAUUCACCUACUAUUAUAAUAUCACUGCAUGUUUUUCUUUUUUCCCCCGCCGUUGUGUACGAUAUAUAGAGAGGGAGGAUAAUGCUAACUAGAUUCUCCUGCCCACAAAAGAAAAUAGUAGAGAUUGUUUUUAAAUCUCACAAAAAGAUAUGGAGAGAAACUAAUCCCAACAAACCCUUGGGUGAUCCAAUGGUGUAGAUUAAAACAUGGGCAAGUGUUACUAUUAAUUAGAAAUGGGUUGAGUGCAUGAAUGAGUAGAUUCUCGAGAGGUUAAAAAAACAAGAGAUGGAAUGGAAUACCCACUUGAGGGGGACAGAAA
rnacentral:misc_RNA from 1 species